rnacentral:rRNA from 1 species
GUUGUAUAGUCAAGUAAUUAAGUGCAUGUGGUGGAUGCCUUGGCAGUCAGAGGCGAUGAAAGACGUGAUAGCCUGCGAAAAGCUCCGGGGAGGCGGCAAAUAUCCUUUGAUCCGGAGAUGUCUGAAUGGGGGGAACCCACCUACUUUAAGGUAGGUAUUGCAACAUGAAUACAUAGUGUUGCAAGGCGAACGAGGGGAAGUGAAACAUCUCAGUACCCUUAGGAAAAGAAAUCAAUUGAGAUUCCCUCAGUAGCGGCGAGCGAACGGGGAUCAGCCCAUUAAGUUAUGUGUGUUUUAGUGGAACGCUCUGGGAAGUGCGAACGUAGAGGGUGAUAUUCCCGUACACGAAAGGGCACACAUAAUGAUGACGAGUAGGGCGAGGCACGUGAAACCUUGUCUGAAUAUGGGGGGACCAUCCUCCAAGGCUAAAUACUCCUGACUGACCGAUAGUGAACCAGUACCGUGAGGGAAAGGCGAAAAGAACCCCUGUGAGGGGAGUGAAAUAGAUCCUGAAACCGCAUGCAUACAAGCAGUGGGAGCACCUUCGUGGUGUGACUGCGUACCUUUUGUAUAAUGGGUCAGCGACUUAUAUUCAGUAGCGAGGUUAACCGUAUAGGGGAGCCGUAGAGAAAUCGAGUCUUAAUAGGGCGUUUAGUUGCUGGGUAUAGACCCGAAACCAGGCGAUCUAUCCAUGAGCAGGUUGAAGGUUGGGUAACACUAACUGGAGGACCGAACCCACUGUCGUUGAAAAGCCAGGGGAUGACUUGUGGAUAGGGGGUGAAAGGCUAAUCAAGCCUGGUGAUAGCUGGUUCUCCCCGAAAGCUAUUUAGGUAGCGCCUCGGACGAAUACCAUAGGGGGUAGAGCACUGUUUCGGCUAGGGGGUCAUCCCGACUUACCAAACCGAUGCAAACUCCGAAUACCUAUGAGUACUAUCCGGGAGACAGACUGCGGGUGCUAACGUCCGUAGUCAAGAGGAAAACAAUCCAGACCGCCAGCUAAGGCCCCAAAAUCAUAGUUAAGUGGGAAACGAUGUGGGAAGGCAUAGACAGCUAGGAGGUUGGCUUAGAAGCAGCCACCCUUUAAAGAAAGCGUAAUAGCUCACUAGUCGAGUCGGCCUGCGCGGAAGAUGUAACGGGGCUAAAACUAUGUGCCGAAGCUGCGGAUGUAUACUUUGUAUACGUGGUAGGGGAGCGUUCUGUAAGCCGAUGAAGGUGUGUUGAGAAGCAUGCUGGAGGUAUCAGAAGUGCGAAUGCUGACGUGAGUAACGACAAAACGGGUGAAAAACCCGUUCGCCGAAAGACCAAGGGUUCCAGUCCAACGUUAAUCGGGGCUGGGUGAGUCGACCCCUAAGGCGAGGCCGAAAGGCGUAGUCGAUGGGAAAAUGGUUAAUAUUCCAUUACUUCUGUGUAAUGCGAUGAGAGGACGGAGAAGGCUAAAUCAGCCUGGCGUUGGUUGUCCAGGUGAAAGGAUGUAGGCAUGUAUCUUAGGCAAAUCCGGGGUACUCUAUGCUGAGAUCUGAUAGCAAGCUGUACUUGUACAGCGAAGUGGUUGAUGCCAUGCUUCCAGGAAAAGUCUCUAAGCUUCAGUUACACAGGAAUCGUACCCGAAACCGACACAGGUGGUCAGGUCGAGUAGACCAAGGCGCUUGAGAGAACUCUGCUGAAGGAACUAGGCAAAAAUGGUACCGUAACUUCGGGAGAAGGUACGCUGUUGUUGGUGAUGGAACUCGCUUCCUGAGCUGACGACAGCCGCAGAAACCAGGCCGCUGCAACUGUUUAUUAAAAACAUAGCACUCUGCAAACACGAAAGUGGACGUAUAGGGUGUGAUGCCUGCCCGGUGCUGGAAGGUUAAUUGAUGGGGUUAGCGUAAGCGAAGCUCUUGAUCGAAGCCCCAGUAAACGGCGGCCGUAACUAUAACGGUCCUAAGGUAGCGAAAUUCCUUGUCGGGUAAGUUCCGACCUGCACGAAUGGCAUAAUGAUGGCGGCGCUGUCUCCAGCAGAGGCUCAGUGAAAUCGAAAUCGCUGUGAAGAUGCAGUGUACCCGCGGCUAGACGGAAAGACCCCGUGAACCUUUACUGCAGCUUGACACUGAACUUUGACCUUACUUGUGUAGGAUAGGUGGGAGGCUUUGAAGCUGGAACGCUAGUUCCAGUGGAGCCGUCCUUGAAAUACCACCCUGGUAAUGUUGAGGUUCUAACUCUGUCCCGUGAUCCGGGACGAGGACCGUGUCUGGUGGGUAGUUUGACUGGGGGCGGUCUCCUCCUAAAGAGUAACGGAGGAGUACGAAGGUGCGCUCAGCGUGGUCGGAAAUCACGCGUAGAGUAUAAAGGCAAAAGCGCGCUUAACUGCGAGACCCACAAGUCGAGCAGGUACGAAAGUAGGUCUUAGUGAUCCGGUGGUUCUGUAUGGAAGGGCCAUCGCUCAACGGAUAAAAGGUACUCUGGGGAUAACAGGCUGAUACCGCCCAAGAGUUCAUAUCGACGGCGGUGUUUGGCACCUCGAUGUCGGCUCAUCUCAUCCUGGGGCUGAAGCAGGUCCCAAGGGUAUGGCUGUUCGCCAUUUAAAGAGGUACGCGAGCUGGGUUUAGAACGUCGUGAGACAGUUCGGUCCCUAUCUACCGUGGGCGCUGGAAAUUUGAGAGGAUCUGCUCCUAGUACGAGAGGACCAGAGUGGACGAACCUCUGGUGUACCGGUUGUGACGCCAGUCGCAUCGCCGGGUAGCUAUGUUCGGAAGGGAUAACCGCUGAAAGCAUCUAAGCGGGAAGCCUACCUCAAGAUAAGAUUUCCCUAGGACUUUAUGUCCUCUAAAGAGCCGUUCGAGACUAGGACGUUGAUAGGUUGGAUGUGGAAGCAUAGUGAUAUGUGAAGCUGACCAAUACUAAUUGCUCGUGAGGCUUGACUAUACAACACCCAAGCAGUUG